rnacentral:rRNA from 1 species
UACGUAGGGCGCAAGCGUUAUCCGGAAUUAUUGGGCGUAAAGCGCGCGUAGGCGGUUACUUAAGUCGGAUGUGAAAGCCCUCGGCUUAACUGAGGAAGUGCACCCGAAACUGAGUAGCUAGAGUACGAAAGAGGGUCGCGGAAUUCCCGGUGUAGAGGUGAAAUUCGUAGAUAUCGGGAGGAACACCGGUGGCGAAGGCGGCGACCUGGGUCGAGACUGACGCUGAGGCGCGAAAGCGUGGGGAGCAAACAGG